rnacentral:rRNA from 1 species
GAUGAACGCUGGCGGCGUGCUUAACACAUGCAAGUCGAACGAAACACCUUAUUUGAUUUUCUUCGGAACUGAAGAUUUGGUGAUUGAGUGGCGGACGGGUGAGUAACUCGUGGGUAACCUGCCCUGUACAGGGGGAUAACAGUCAGAAAUGACUGCUAAUACCGCAUAAGACCACAGCACCGCAUGGUGCAGGGGUAAAAACUCCGGUGGUACAGGAUGGACCCGCGUCUGAUUAGCUGGUUGGUGAGGUAACGGCCCACCAAGGCGACGAUCAGUAGCCGGCUUGGGAGAGUGAACGGCCACAUUGGGACUGAGACACGGCCCGAACUCCUACGGGAGGCAGCAGUGGGGAAUAUUGCAAAAUGGGGGAAACCCUGAUGCAGCGACGCCGCGUGAGUGAAGAAGUAUUUCGGUAUGUAAAGCUCUAUCAGCAGGGAAGAAAAUGACGGUACCUGACUAAGAAGCCCCGGCUAACUACGUG